rnacentral:rRNA from 1 species
ACGUAGGAGGCAAGCGUUAUCCGGAUUUACUGGGCGUAAAGGGCGUGCAGGCGGUUGGCUAAGUUCGUUGUGAAAGCGCCCAGGCUUAACCGGGCGAGGACAAUGAAGACUGGUCAGCUAGAGGACGGUAGAGGGGUGUGGAAUUCCCGGUGUAGUGGUGGAAUGCGUAGAGAUCGGGAGGAACACCAGUGGCGAAAGCGGCACCCUGGCAUUGGCCUGACGCUGAGGUGCGAAAGCGUGGGGAGCAAACGG